CAAAUCAGAUUGCAGUAAUUUUGUCAUGUAUACAAUAAAUAGUGAUAAACAAUAGUGAUAAACAAGUGGGCUUAUAUUCAGGUGGGCUUAUAUUCGGGGGGGGGCUUAUAUUUGGAAUGAGGUGAGCGUUAGUACAUGUGGUGGGCUUGAUACACGGUGGGGCUUAUAUUCGGGGGGCUUAUAUUCAGAGGUUUACGGUACCCCUUGCAAAUUUACCUAU